UGCCCAGCAACUCCUAUCCCUACAUCCAUGCGGUACCGGCCGGAAACUAUGAGCAACCUUAGGGAAGAUCGGGUAACCAACCCCGGUGGGAACUUUGGUCGUAGGCUGACAGGGAAAG
rnacentral:ribozyme from 1 species